rnacentral:rRNA from 1 species
GAUGAACGCUGGCGGCGUGCCUAAUACAUGCAAGUCGAGCGAACAGACGAGGAGCUUGCUCCUUCGACGUUAGCGGCGGACGGGUGAGUAACACGUAGGUAACCUACCUAUAAGACUGGGAUAACUUCGGGAAACCGGAGCUAAUACCGGAUAAUAUUUCGAACCGCAUGGUUCGAUAGUGAAAGAUGGCUUUGCUAUCACUUAUAGAUGGACCUGCGCCGUAUUAGCUAGUUGGUAAGGUAACGGCUUACCAAGGCAAUGAUACGUAGCCGACCUGAGAGGGUGAUCGGCCACACUGGAACUGAGACACGGUCCAGACUCCUACGGGAGGCAGCAGUAGGGAAUCUUCCGCAAUGGGCGAAAGCCUGACGGAGCAACGCCGCGUGAGUGAUGAAGGUCCUCGGAUCGUAAAACUCUGUUAUUAGGGAAGAACAAACGUGUAAGUAACUGUGCACGUCUUGACGGUACCUAAUCAGAAAGCCACGGCUAACUACGUG